UACGUAGGGGGCGAGCGUUGGUCCGGAUUUAUUGGGCGUAAAGAGCGGUGUAGGCGGCCAGGUAGGUCCGUUGUGAAAACUCGAGGCUCAACCAUCGAGACGGUCCGAUGGAAACCAUCUGGACUAGAGUCCGGAAGAGGAGAGUGGAAUUCCGUGGUGUAGCGGUGAAAUGCGCAGAUAUCAGGAAGAACACCUAUGGCGAAGGCAGCUCUCGUGGGACGGUACUGACGCUGAGACGCGAAAGCGUGGGGGAGCGAACAGG
rnacentral:rRNA from 1 species